rnacentral:rRNA from 1 species
UACGGGGGGGAGCAAGCGUUGUUCGGAUUUACUGGGCGUAAAGGGCGCGUAGGCGGCCACCGCAAGUCGACUGUGAAAUCCCCCGGGCUUAACCUGGGAACUGCGCUUGUGACUGGAAGGCUAGAGUACGGCAGAGGGGGGUGGAAUUCCACGUGUAGCAGUGAAAUGCGUAGAGAUGUGGAGGAACACCGAUGGCGAAGGCAGCCCCCUGGGCCGAUACUGACGCUCAUGCACGAAAGCGUGGGGAGCAAACAGG